rnacentral:rRNA from 1 species
UACGAAGGGGGCUAGCGUUGCUCGGAAUCACUGGGCGUAAAGCGCACGUAGGCGGAUCUUUAAGUCAGGGGUGAAAUCCUGGAGCUCAACUCCAGAACUGCCUUUGAUACUGGGGAUCUCGAGUCCGGGAGAGGUGAGUGGAACUCCGAGUGUAGAGGUGAAAUUCGUAGAUAUUCGGAAGAACACCAGUGGCGAAGGCGACUUACUGGACACAUAUUGACGCUGAGGUGCGAAAGCGUGGGGAGCAAACAGG